CAAGUCAGAUGUGAAAUGCCACAGCUCAACUGUGGCACUGCGUUUGAAACUGUCAGGCUUGAGUAUUCCAGGGGUGUGCGGAACUGCCAGUGGAGCGGUGAAAUGCGUUGAUAUUGGCAGGAACACCGGAGGCGAAGGCGGCACACUGGGGGAUAACUGACGCUGAGGUACGAAAGCCAGGGUAGCGAACGGGAUUAGAUACCCCGGUAGUCCU
rnacentral:rRNA from 1 species